GACGAACGCUGGCGGCGUGCUUAACACAUGCAAGUCGAACGGAAAGGCCCUGCUUGCAGGGUACUCGAGUGGCGAACGGGUGAGUAACACGUGGGUGAUCUGCCCUGCACUUCGGGAUAAGCCUGGGAAACUGGGUCUAAUACCGGAUAGGAGCCAUUUUUAGUGUGAUGGUUGGAAAGUUUUUUCGGUGUAGGAUGAGCUCGCGGCCUAUCAGCUUGUUGGUGGGGUAAUGGCCUACCAAGGCGGCGACGGGUAGCCGGCCUGAGAGGGUGGACGGCCACAUUGGGACUGAGAUACGGCCCAGACGCCGACGGGAGGCAGCAGUGGGGAAUAUUGCACAAUGGGCGCAAGCCUGAUGCAGCGACGCCGCGUGGGGGAUGACGGCCUUCGGGUUGUAAACUCCUUUCGCUAGGGACGAAGCUUUUUGUGACGGUACCUAGAGAAGAAGCACCGGCUAACUACGUG
rnacentral:rRNA from 1 species